GACGAAGCCUCCAUCGCCGGCGAAGCGUCGUGUAGUAGGCCAUUCUCCGGCGCCUCCGCUGCAGCUGGUGCCACCCUGCAGGGCCGGUUCCUUCGCACGUCCUCCGAGCACGGCAGGGUAGCAAACCGGAUGCUGUUCUGGUUGACCUCCCUGCCUUUUCUACCCUUGUUCUCUUUCUCUCUCUCUCACGGCGACGACGACGACGACGGCAGAAGUGAGCCUGCUAUCGCUAUGGAGAUUUGUCCUGGACACUUAAGUUAUGAGACAGCACUCCUAUGCCAACGCAUUCAUCCUCGUAACACCCCGCUGUCCAAUGUAUCGGACACCUGCUGGCGCCAUCUAUACCACAUUGAUGAAAAUACAUCGUUCAAGUUCCCGCCAAAACAGUUGCAGGAUGGCGGCAUUCAGCAGGGCUGCGUUUAGUGGCACCUGCCGUAGACGGACAGGUCUCCCGUGUCUGAUGAGAAGUCUUUUCGCGAUUUUGUGAAGAACUGCUGCCGAAAGGAACACGUCGGACAUCGAGCUUUUCGAUAGUGACGACGACGAAGAAAAGAGGACUGGCCGCUUCCCAAGGCUGGCUGACACUGCCAACGCUGCCCGUUGCAGACUACGGGGCUGCAACAUGAAAACAAAGUUCUUUUGCACUUAA